UGAUCGCCAGAAAGGCAAAAGGUGGCAAAAGGUAUGCAGAAAUUUAGUAGAAGAUUGCACUCUCCGGAGCAGAAAAGAAUGCACUAUCGAGCAAGAUCCUUAUACAACAUAUGCUGACGGAGAAAGAUAGUUCCAAAAGGCAGCCGAAGAUUUCGAAUGAAAUGUUUCUUGCCCAGUAGAGAGCGCUGGCAGAUUCAAACUAUUACAGGAAGUGUAGGAAGAUAAAACUUACACCGGAGUAUCUUGAGUAGGCUUGGCUUACCAUUGGCUUCAACUACUUCAUCCUUGACCUCCUCCCUCCCUGUUGUGUCAUGGAGUCGAGUUCAUUAUGCGAAUGCAUUGGUGUUUUUUUCUUCGACUCCAUGGGUUUAGGAGCUAACAAGAACUGCAUGCAAUUUGGCAUACACUUGUAAAAAUGGAGAUUGGAAGGCAUCACUGCAUUUAUACUGAACACAAACACCACUUUCAGAAUUAUGGUCAGGCUUCAACUACUUCCGCUCCCGCUGUUGUGCGAUGGCAGCAAGUUCACCUCGCCGCAACCAUGGUGACGAUGGCCUCAUCUUCGACUCCGUGGUUUUGAGCCAUGCUCAUUUCAAAACUUAACAUAUGGCCAUUUCUGCAUCUCCAGAUGAGAGUGUGGUUGCUCUUGCAAAUGGAUCCCCUCACCUUCAUUUAUUGGGGAUGUACUACUGCCAGAACAUCACCGACUGGGCCAUGUACUCGCUCGCAGCAAAUAGCCGCUUCUGGAGUAAGGCCAUGAGCUGGGGCACAUAGGGUGGAAACAGGCAUAGCCAUGAGGACAAGGACGGGCUCUCAAACUCGAACAUCAUCCAGUUCACCGCACUGACGCCCCUGGCCAUCCAGUCCACAUGUGCCCAGAGGCAUUCACUCAUCGCCAGCGGCUGGCUUAGCCUAACCACCAUCCACUGCGCAUGUGUUACUGAUUUUUUCUCUGAUCCUACCUACUCUAUAACACCAUCUGGAGAGAUGAGGUGUUCUAUCGUUGUCAUAGUCAUUAUCAGGAUGAUCAUUGUUCCCAGGCUCAUCAGCUGCAUCAGAGCGGUGGCAAAAACACAGCGGUGGGAUCUCGGCACACUCGAAGUAGGCUGGUUGGUGGGAGCCCUCCGACAGUGAGCACGGUGACGACGAGGAGCUCUGCAUGCGAGGA